CCUACGGGUGGCUGCAGUGAGGAAUAUUGGUCAAUGGACGAGAGUCUGAACCAGCCAAGUAGCGUGAAGGAUGACUGCCCUAUGGGUUGUAAACUUCUUUUAUAUGGGAAUAAAACGUUCCACGUGUGGGAUUUUGUAUGUACCAUAUGAAUAAGGAUCGGCUAACUCCGUGCCAGCAGCCGCGGUAAUACGGAGGAUCCGAGCGUUAUCCGGAUUUAUUGGGUUUAAAGGGAGCGUAGAUGGAUUGUUAAGUCAGUUGUGAAAGUUUGCGGCUCAACCGUAAAAUUGCAGUUGAAACUGGCAGUCUUGAGUACAGUAGAGGUGGGCGGAAUUCGUGGUGUAGCGGUGAAAUGCUUAGAUAUCACGAAGAACUCCGAUUGCGAAGGCAGUUCACUAGACUGCAACUGACAUUGAGGCUCGAAAGUGUGGGUAUCAAACAGGAUUAGAUACCCCAGUAGUC
rnacentral:rRNA from 1 species